GACGAACGCUGGCGGCGCGCCUAACACAUGCAAGUCGAACGGAGUCAAGAGGAGCUUGCUUUUCUUGACUUAGUGGCGAACGGGUGAGUAACGCGUGAGUAACCUGCCCUGGAGUGGGGGACAACAGUUGGAAACGACUGCUAAUACCGCAUAAGCCCACGGAACCGCAUGGAUCUGCGGGAAAAGGAUUUAUUCGCUUCAGGAUGGACUCGCGUCCAAUUAGCUAGUUGGUGAGGUAACGGCCCACCAAGGCGACGAUUGGUAGCCGGACUGAGAGGUUGAACGGCCACAUUGGGACUGAGACACGGCCCAGACUCCUACGGGAAGCAGCAGUGGGGGAUAUUGCACAAUGGGGGAAACCCUGAUGCAGCGACGCCGCGUGGAGGAAGAAGGUUUUCGGAUUGUAAACUCCUGUCGUUAGGGACGAUAAUGACGGUACCUAACAAGAAAGCACCGGCUAACUACGUG
rnacentral:rRNA from 1 species